GAAACCAUAAACAUGUAAAGUGGUUCAAUUACAAAGUAGAAACUUGCAAACUUCAAUCAUUAGAGAAAUAGUGCAGCAGUUAUUACAUAUCAGCUAAAGUGACAAACUAGAAACAUAACAUAUUCUCUUGAAACUUAAAAGAAAAACAAAGCCGAUGGGGAGAUCAUAUGCUCUAUUCGAAGACCCUACUUGUUGAGGUCUUUGAAAACGGGGCUGUCCAGAGCAACACCCAUUGAAUUCAAGCCAUUGUCCACAUAGAUGGUUGCACCAGUUAUGGCAGAUGCCAAUGGAGAUACCAAGAAGGCCGCUGCAUUCCCAACUUCAUCUGCAUCAUCAAUCAUAUUCCUCAUUUUUUAAUAAAAUUUCCAAUAAAAAAAUUGAAAGCCAACAAGAAAUGCUUGUAUAGAAGGAAAAUGAAUGAACCUGCGGUCAGUGUUUUCUGAAUAGGCGCGUUAUUGUAUGAAUACUCAAUCAUGGUGUCUAUGAAGCCAAUUGCUUUCGCUGCUCGGCUUCCCAAAGGACCUGCAGAGAUGGUGUUGACCCUAAUGUUUUGUUUCCUUCCAGCUUCAAAUGCAAGCACACGUGUAUCACUCUCUAGUGCGGCCUUGGCAGAACUCAUACCUCCACCAUACCUAACAACAGAAAUUAAAAGAGACACUUGUAAUCAUCUAUUGAGAAACCAAACAAUGUUGUGAAGCUAUAGUAUGACCCUUACCCGGGAAUGAUCCUUUCAGAGGCAAUGUAAGUAAGAGAGAUAGAAGCACCUCCUAAAUAAUCAAUAGAGAAACAAAUAAAAUUUUUAAAAAAAAAUUAUAAAGAAGAAGAGGAAUACAAAGUUUUGUGACAUACCUGGGUUCAUAAUUGGGAGAAAAUGGCUAAGGAGGGAAACAAAGGAGUAGCUGGAAGCAGAAAUAGCAGCAAGAUAGCCUUUCCUCGUUGUCUCCAGAAGAGGUUUGCUAACCUAAAAAUAUCAGAAGAUCUCCCAUCAGGCAAAACAGAAUAAAGUUCUUGUAAAACAGUUUCAGAUAGAGUUCUUGCCUCGGGUCCAUUUGCAAGUGAGUGGACAAGAAUGUCAAUGCUUCCAAAAUCUUGUCUCACACAUUCUGCAGCUUCCUGUACAGUCCAGUUUGAUGAUCCAGCAUAUCGCUUAUUCGCUUUCACCUGGAAAAAUAAAAUGUUAUCAUAACUAAUUUGGAUAUUAAGGGUUUUAAUAUGAUGUGAAAGAUGUAAAUCUCCCUUACAUCUUCAGGGACAUCAUCAGGAGUGUCAAAGACAGCAUCCAAAGGAUAAACCUUUUUAAUCUCCAUCAAUGAUCCGUCUGGCAACCUGAAUUUGAGAUAUUAGAUGAUGUGGAAAAACAAAAGAAACAAAGAGUUGAUCAGUUUUGUUGUAAGUCCUUACACGCGUGACUGGUCGAAUUUUCCACGUCUCAAGCUCGUCUCAAAAAUGUUAAGCGCCUAGUAGACCACUCACAGGUCAGAACAUGAGGAAACUAAAAGUAGUAAUACAAAAAAAAAGGAAACUUACAGGAACCCAAGUCCCAACCAAAAUUUCAGCACCAGCAGCAGCAAGAGAUUUGGCUAUGGCCCAACCAUAUCCAUUAUCAUCAGCUAUACCAGCAAUAAAGGCCCUUUUCCCUAGAAACCAUUUAACGCAGUUGAUUUAAUCCAAACAGCUCACUGUCUUGUAAAUAGCAAUCAAUCUUAGUAAUGAUGAUUAAGAUAUGACUACAUAGUAACCUCUCAAAUCAAUGGGAAGUCCAGAAGAAGCCUUGCUUUCGCUGGAUUCAGACAUGGCCUUUGUCGAAAAGGAAAAACUCUUUUUAGAAGCUGGAAGAGCACUGUCGUUUCUCAAACACCCGAGGUUCGAUAGAUGUCGAGUGGAAGUGAGCUUAUCCCAUGAUGCGUUCCCGUGAUUGACACCGACAAUCCCUGCUUUAACAACUUUGCUAGAGGCAGCAGAAAUGCUUGGCCUUGUUGUAGCCAUUUGCAAGCUCGAAGCUGCUGAUGUUGCCGCCAUCCUCGCAAUAUUUCAAAUAUUUUCUGUGCAAAAAAAAUGUCAGAACAUGUAAAGAAGACCAAUGAGCUUUCUUUCUAACAAUCCAAGUUAUAAUAAUCUGCACAAAAUGCAGAUCGACACAGACAUUGGAGAAAUAGAAUUGAAAAUGUCCUGCAUUUAUAAAAAUGAUUUGAUUUAUAAUACGCAAUCCAAGUUCACAUUGACAUAACAAAGAAAACAAAUGGCACAAGUUCUGGAUUUUUCGCAGCUUAACGUCAGAGAAAACUCAAUUGACUGAGAUAAUUAAAAACCCAAAACGAAUCUGCAUUUUUCCAUCAAACAAACAGAGAACCAAAGAGAGAGAGGGGGAGAGAUAGAUACCUGAUAGAGCCUAGAGAGAGAAGAGAGAAGAGAGAAGAGAGAAGAGAGAAGAGUAGGUUUGCUUUGGUGUGAAGUGGGGUAUGUAAGGGGAGCGGGUUCGAUGAGAUCGAGGUGUUUGUUGUGUCUGGCGAAGUUAAGAGGUUGAUUGUAUGUGGUUUUUGUUUUAGUUUUUGGUUUUUGUAAACAAAAACCAUUUUUCAUCCAAUUAAUUUUUAGUUUUUAGUUUUGUUUUUGUAGAAAUCAUUUGAUUUGCCAAUCAAGAUUUUUAAUAAAUAGAUUUCUUAAAAUUUAGAGAAAUUAGUUUUUGAAAAGUUUAACCAAUUUGUGAAGAAAAACCAAAAACCAACUUUUGUGAGCUUUUAAAAGGAAAAACGAAUUUUGAUUUUUUUUUGAUAGAAACUACAAUAUUUAAUUAAUUAAUAAUUAAUAAAUAACAUUUUUAUAAAGAUAAAUAAUCAUACAAUUUUUAGUACAUUAGCUAUAAUUUAAAAAAUAAUGUGAUAUAACUUAUUUGUGUUUAAUAUCUGUAAAAUAAAUUUAUAUAGUUUAUAAAUAAUAUUAAUUAAUUUUAAAACUUAGUUAUUAAUUUCUCUAUAUAAAAUAAUAGAAUAAUUUUAAUAAUUACUAGUCACAUUAAAAAUAACUAAAAUUAUAAAAACAUAAUAUGUUUUAGUAAUACAAUAUAUUGUAUUAGUCAUGAAAAAUAAAAAUAGCCAUUCAAUUUUAAGAAAAUAUAAAUAAUUUAUAUGAGAAAAUUUUAUAAUUAGUUUCAAAAUUUUAAGUAUUUUUAUUUUUAUAUAAUUUAUAAUAUUUAAAAAAAAUAUUGCUAUAUAAGUUUAUAAAAUUAAAAAUAAUUUAUAUAAAAAAAAUUUCUAAGUAGUUUCAAACUUUUAAAUAUUUUUAUUUUUUUGCAAUUUAUAUAAAUUUUAUGAUAAAUAUUUUAUUGUAAUAUAAUUUUUAAUAAAACUAUAAUAAUUAAAAUAUGUUAUUAUAUUUUAAUUUAAAAUAAUUAUCAUAAUAUUUUGACAAUUUUAAUUGUAAAUAUAAAUAUUUAUUUCUAUUUUGUUGUAUUAUUUCAAAGUAACUCAUUACUUAAUUUUUGCAAAAAUAAAAAAAAUACUGCAAAACCAAAAACCAAAAUCUAAAUCUAAAAACUAAAAACUAAAAACCAAAAACUGAAAACCAAAAACUAAAAUCUAAAAACCAAAAACUAAAACUAAAAACUAUUGCAACAAUCAUCACCUAAGUGAGAAGUUUUUUGUCCCAACUAGACAAACCGGAUCGGUUUCGUCACAAACCGGAUAUUCAAGGUUUAUCCGUAACCUCUUUCGGAUCUUUUAUUUUUCGGGACUAUUACACAAUUUUUUUUAUUUAGGCCUUAUUGUUUGACUAAUUUUCUGUUUUUGGUUUUUUCAGAUAUUGGUUUUAAAAUUUCAAACUAUUAUUUUAUGUUUUGUUUUUGUUUUUGUUUAAUUUUUAUUUUAAAUUUUGAGUUUUUUAUUUUUUGGUUUUUAUACUAAAGUAUAAAAAAUUUUAGAUUUGAUUUUGUUGUAAAAUCAUACCAAGUUUGAGGUGAUUCGUAUUAAAAUGAGAAAUUCAUGUUAUUCAAACGUAAAUUUUAAAAUUGAUUUCAGUGUUAUUGAAUUUAUCAUUUCAUAAAAUAUUUUGGAAUCUAUUAUUAUUAAACAAAAUUUGAGUUGUAGAUUUAAUAACACUUUAAGUGUCUUUAGAGUAUUUGAGAGGUGAUUUUCUCCCAUGGAUAAUAUAUCAACAUUUGAUCCGGUUAGGCAAGUUUUAGAACAGAAUGAAAAUAACUUGAACAAAGCCGUCUAUGAAACCAUAAAACAUGUGAAGUGGUUGAAUUAAAAAGUAGAAACGUGCAAACUUCAAUCAUCAGAGAAAUAAUGCAGCAGUUAUUACACAUUCGCUAAAGUGACAAACUAGAAACAUAACAUAUUCUCUUGAAACUUAAAAGAAAAACAAAGCCGAUGGGGAGAUCAUAUGCUCUAUUCGUCGAUCAAGAAGACCCUACUUGUUGAGGUCUUUGAAAACGGGGCUGUCCAGAGCAACACCCAUUGAAUUCAA
rnacentral:lncRNA from 1 species